CAUGGAGGAUAGAUUGCAAGUGGAGCCAAGAACAAAAUACAGCUGACUCUGAACAAAUCCUUUUCGUGACUUCUGGAUAAAGGACAACUCAAGCCCCUCGUUCCAGUGGCAGUGGAUUGAUGUGCAGCUUCCUAUGUGAAGGCAGAGCACACGUCUGUCUCUGGAGCUUCCUAGGGUUGGUUCUAAAUGCAAUCACAAGGAUCCUUACAAAACAGACACAUGGAGAAGACAGAUACAGAGAAGGCAAUGUGAACACAGAACAGAAAGAGAUGUGGUUACGAGCCAAGGAAUGCUGACAGCCACACACAUUGGAAGAGCUUUAUUAAUGGAAGAGAAGAAGCACUAUGGAGAAGAUAAAAAGUUUGUGUUGCUAGGAAAUGACACCCUAAGGACAGAUUAUGGCUAAGAAGAGAAAACUAAAGGGAGAAGACUUAGCAGUGGGAUCCAUUUAAUGAAGAACCAAAUAGUCUUGACUCAAAAGGCCUUGUGAAAAUUCCUGCGUAAAAUCUGACAACCGCAAAUUACCCAAAAAGAUUUCUAACUUGGAAUCACUAAGGACAAAAACUCCUAUAUUCCUGAAGCCC
rnacentral:lncRNA from 10 species